CAUGAAGAUGAGGGGGAAAGUAACCCAGAAGCCUGGGACAGAGGAGAGAUCAGUCUCAAAGGGCUUCGCACACAAGAUGGAGUCCUAUCUCUGAUAUCCGUGUUUAAAAGAAAAGAGAGAAAAAAAGCUGGGCGUGGGUCCACAGUUCGUGUUUUCCACCAGAGUGUCAGACACUGCUACAUGCCAGAGCAGCAUGGGAAACAGCAGGAUCUGGGACAAAUGCCGUGUUUCCCUGUCUCGUCUCUGGGUACCCAGGUGCCACCAGGAUUCCACCAGGAGAGGAAGUCAGAAACCGGUCUGAGGUCCACCUUUCCCCUUGGAGCAUCUGCACGCCAGGCAGGAAGGGGAAGGCAGAGCCUAGGAUGAGAGGGAUCCUGCCUGAUUUGGAGCAAGUUCCUUACCAUACCUGAAGGACUAGAGAAGAGAAAAGCCCUCCUUCAGGAGUCUUAGAUGUGGCUCUUUUAGGCAAAGGGUCUCCCCCAUGGAAAUUUUUUAAUGAAGCAGCUCUCUGAGACGA